rnacentral:lncRNA from 1 species
AUAUAAAACAGGGGCUCAAGAGUGAGCCAUGUUGAGAUUGUAUAUCAGUUUUCUCUUGCCCUGAUUUGAAAAUCUUUCACUGUUUAAAUCUGUUGAUUUCUAAAUUGUAACUAUAAUGCCGGGACAGGAGAUGGGACCCCUAGUUUUUAUUUAGCACUUGACUGAAAUGUAACAUGACUUCAAGAUUCUUUUAUAUUAAAAAAAAAGUCAGCUAUUGUUCAUCUCCAGUGAAAUGAAUAAAACUUAGAUGACAGGGACUUAAAGGUAGACAAAAAGAUGUAGGACAGAGCCAAGGAAUUUAAACAAUUUUCAGAGUUCAGGGAAAAUGAUAAAAUCUCUUAAUCUAGAGAUAUUUAAGAAGAAGGCAGGGAUCUUUUCUCUAAAAUUGGGGGAGCAAAGGGUACUUCUUCGUGAACAACGGUAUCCAUCUAGUCUUUUUUGUACUACAAUAAGAAUAGCAAGACCGUGCUUCAGGAAAGCUGUCCAGUGUAAACAGGCCCCGCCUUGGAGUUCAUUGAGGACAGGUCUCUUUCUACAGAGGAGACCCAAGUGAAACUCUCUUGCUCUGGUGUUCUAGAAACUCAGUGGUGAAGGCUGAUCUGUGAUUCUUCCCCAGAUUCCUCGAAUUCAUGGGGGUUAAGGCCUAAGAUUUAACAUGCUCUUAACCUUGUUAACAAAGGUGCCUUCGUAUUGAGGAGACAUUAAAACUUAGCCACAUAAAUAUAUCUUGUCUCCUCCAGUGUUAAAAAAACAAAAAACAAAACUACUAUAAGCUGGGUGGAAUCAUGGUAAACAAAGCAUUUUCCAUUGCUUCAAGCACAGCAAAUAGAAUCUCUACCGAUAGUGCUUCUCCUUAGUUUCACCAGGGACAUUAGAUUCAUAGUGGUUCAUUUCAAAACCAUGCUUCCUCUUUCAGAGACUGUUUUGUCACCUGCAGGCUGAAGCGUUCUCCUUAGCUGAAGAUGCAAGCUUGCCCUACAGAAUGUUUGAACCUUCUGGUGGGUGCCUGGAGUUACGAAGAGAGGAGCUGCCAUUUUCUUUGCCCCGAGGAGCUGGCUCGGUGACCUCCUUCAGUCAUGGAAAGUCCCUUCCCCAGAUAGAGUCCAGCAUUCCACUGGCUUCUCCUGCUGCUAAAAUAAAACCGGGCGAAUCCCUCAGUAAACCGUGGAGCAUAAAGAGGACCACCAGGACUGUGGAGUCUGCUAGAAGGGUGGUCAAGAAGAGACCACUGCCCAAGAAUCCUCUCAUCUUGACCUGCCCCCAAGUAAAGGAGGAAUCGUUAAAUGGCCACUGACCCUGAGGAGCUCAUCAUCUAGGAGCUACAAAUAAAAGCAGUUAAACUUACUUAUGGUUUGAGUGAUCAAUAAAAUAUUUUACUCAUUCAACUGUAUAAGAGGAUAGAUUGCAUAAAAUAAUGGUGGCUAGCAAAAAUACACAUCUGUUGUACUGUUCUAUUUUGAGCCAUUUGAGGAACAAAGGCCAUGGGGAAAGAGGAAGAAGAAUGAUGUAGGUAGAAAGAAAGAGACUGGAGGGAAAGAAAUAAAAGAGGGACUUGCACACACACACACACACACACACACACACACAUUUAGUAAAAGAAAAAUUUCUACAGAAAAGAAGGCCUACUGGGUAGUCUUUAUGAAAAUUCUGUGAAAGAGUUUAAAGCUAUGUUGGAUGUUUGCAAUCAGUGGUAUAAUUAUCUAUCUAUCUAUCUAUCUAUCUAUUUAUCUAUCAUCUAUCUAUCUAUCUAUCUAACCAUUCAACUAUCCAUCCAUCUGUCCAUCCCAUCUUUCUAUCCAAUGUAUCCACAUAGACUUAACAAGUUUUGAUGUUUGUCUUGUUGAACAAAUGAACUCAAUGCAUCAGUGUUUUAA